rnacentral:ribozyme from 1 species
AGUUGCAAAUUUGAAGCCAAAGCAGAAAUAUUUAUGGUGCAGCCUGUCAGAUUCCAACGAAUCUGCAAAUUCUGCU